rnacentral:tRNA from 2 species
GGGCGAUUAACUCAAUUGGUAGAGUGCCACCUUUACACGGUGGAAGUUACAGGUUCAAGUCCUGUAUCGCCCACCA